rnacentral:rRNA from 1 species
AACCUGCGAGGUCUUAACGACAGAGACCAGUGCAUGGCUGUUCGCUCUACUGUCAUCUCUUCCAAUGCCUCAGUUGUAUGCUUGCAAGAAACCAAAGUCAAAACUUUAACUCCCUAACUCGUUCUUGAAACAGUGGGAUCAGAGUUUGAUGGUUACACUCGUCUCCCAGCAAUUGGUACUUCGGGUGGGAUUCUCCUAGGUUGGAAGAGUCGUUGUGUCUCCCUGACCAAUGUGACGCUUACCAAUAACGCCGUCUCAGCCCAGGUUUCCUCCCCGGCUGGGCAAUGGUAG